GACGAACGCUGGCGGCGUGCUUAACACAUGCAAGUCGAACGGAAAGGCCCUGCGUUUGCGGGGUGCUCGAGUGGCGAACGGGUGAGUAAAACGCGAGUAAAAUGCCCUUGACAUUGGGAUAAAUCCAGGAAAAAGGGGCGAAUACAGGGUAGGAGAUCCUGAAGCACGGGGGGGGAUGGAGAGAGUCGGCUGUGUGGGCUGGACUGGCGGCUUAUCAGCUUGAUGGGGGGGUAGGGGCUGACCAGGGCUUUGACGGGUAGCCGGCCUGGGAGGGUGACCGGCCUCCUUGGGACUGCGAUACGGCCCAGACUCCUACGGGCGGCAGCAGUGGGGAAUAUUGCACAAUGGGCGGACGCCUGAGACAGCAGCGCCGCGUGCGUGAUGACGUCCUACGGGUUGUAAACCUCUUUCUCCUGUGCCGAAGCGUGAGUGACGGUAAUUGGUAAAGAAGCACCGGCUAACUACGUG
rnacentral:rRNA from 1 species